CGGGGCGCAGCAGUGGGGAAUAUUGGACAAUGGGCGAAAGCCUGAUCCAGCCAUGCCGCGUGAGUGAUGAAGGCCCUAGGGUUGUAAAGCUCUUUUACCUGGGAAGAUAAUGACGGUACCAGGAGAAUAAGCCCCGGCUAACUUCGUGCCAGCAGCCGCGGUAAUACGAAGGGGGCUAGCGUUGUUCGGAAUCACUGGGCGUAAAGAGCACGUAGGCGGAUCUUUAAGUCAGGGGUGAAAUCCCGAGGCUCAACCUCGGAACUGCCUUUGAUACUGGGGAUCUCGAGUCCGGGAGAGGUGAGUGGAACUGCGAGUGUAGAGGUGAAAUUCGUAGAUAUUCGCAAGAACACCAGUGGCGAAGGCGGCUCACUGGCCCGGAACUGACGCUGAGGUGCGAAAGCGUGGGGAGCAAACAGGAUUAGAUACCCGAGU
rnacentral:rRNA from 1 species